rnacentral:rRNA from 1 species
UACGAAGGGGGCUAGCGUUGUUCGGAAUUACUGGGCGUAAAGCGCACGUAGGCGGAUCUGUAAGUAGGGGGUGAAAGCCCCGGGCUCAACCCGGGAACUGCCUUCUAGACUGCUGAUCUGGAGGUCAGGAGAGGCGAGCGGAAUUCCGAGUGUAGAGGUGAAAUUCGUAGAUAUUCGGAGGAACACCAGUGGCGAAGGCGGCUCGCUGGACUGAUACUGACGCUGAGGUGCGAAAGCGUGGGGAGCAAACAGG